CAGAUGGUUUCGAACCUCCCACCGGUGCAGAAGUUGAUGGUUCCUGAUGCAGCCUCAGUGUCAGGAAACAUUUUAACUCCUGGAGGAGAAGGACGAGAUGUGGACAUGACCCCAAAAGAAACGCCCACAAGCAAAUCACCUCACCUCCCAAUGGCAGACCCAAGUCCAUCUCAUAGCCCAAUUAGCUCCAGUGACUCUCCUCUGUCCAGCACAAAUGCAGCGAGCAGCGGUGGCAAGCCAGCCGACAAGAGCGAAGAACCUUUUAAAGAGGUCCUAAUGAACAACUGUGACUAUG